ACUUAAAUGUACAGUAGCUGUGGUCUCGAAGAAGACAGCCUGUACAGAGCACCGAGGAUCCGUCAGCCCAUAGGGAAAGGAGAGCACAAAUCCCUCCAGCUUCCAGUUCCGCCCGCGUUUCCUGGUCCCACCAGUCUCUCCCACCCCCACUUCUCCCAGUGAUUCACUCACCGCUGCCCUCAUUUCUCUCCUUCCCCACAUCUGUGUUUCUUUGCCCUCCUGAUCUACAUAUGCUCUGCCCCUGCUGCCUGAGGCUCCUCUGUCCCCGCCCCGUGGUCAUCCCUACGCACCAUUUAUUUUCUUUCUGGAAACGGAGUGUUUUCUGAACUUUCCACUGCACAUAAGCUACAUCUCUUUUUCAGGCCCCUCCUCCUUCCCUCCCCAAAUCACUUUUCCUGCAGAACAUAACCAGCUUUAUUUUUUUCCCCUUUUUUCUUUCUGCACAGAUUACAGCUCCAGCAGCCACUGCCUUGGGGUCAGUGAGUGACAAGCUUUAGCUGAGUAAGCUUCAGCCAUGAGGAAGCACAAUCAAAACAUUUAUUUAUUUCUCCAUGUUUCUGGAAAACUGCAGUAGAAUGUGACAAACCUUAACCAAAGCUAUGUUCAGCAGGGGGCUUUAUCACAGAAACCCUGUACUGAAAUUGUACCCAGAGCUCCUCGCUGCUCUGGGCAUCCCUUCUCUCUUGGGCAUGGGAAGCCACCAGCUGUUCUCAGAGCUCCGACCUUUCCACAGAAGUCCACCAGAGCUGGGGUUUUGCCCCAAGAUGAGCUGAUAAAGAAGAUACCUGUUGGAAUUGCUCAGGCUGCUGUCUCAGGAUUACAUUGCAAUUUGGUGUACUCAAGGUCAGCGGUCAGGUUGUGCUGGAGCCCACAGGCUCCCUACUAAAAAGAGAGAGCAGCAGUGCACUGCAGGACUGGUUAACAAGCACUUUAAUUAAAGAACAUCCAUCAGCAUUCACUCAGCGCGGCGAAGUGCCACUUUCAGCAAAGCUGCACCCGGAAUGCAUUUGGCCGUUUGCAACAGCAGCUCUAAAUCUGAUGGUGACAGCAAACGAUUGCCACGAAGCCAGUUACAACCUUUUUUUCCACUACUGAGCAGAGAAGGAGGUGGAGGGGAGACACUGCUCUGCCCCACUGCCUCAUCCCACUGCUUUGUGGUCUGGUCCCACCAGCUCCUGAGCAACAAGGGUGAGCUACCAGUAAGUGUUUUUUAAAGUAAAAAUGGAGGAGGAGAGGAAAAAGUGACAUACAAUUUAUUUCAGUGAAAGGAGAAAUUUAAGAUUAUAUAUCCCAAGAAAAAUAUAGAGUUAUCUAGGGAGGGUGUAGAGUAGUCCUCCAAAACUAUGUGCCAGGUCCAAAACAUAAAUUCUUGAAACACUGGAUAGGGUAGCAAGGAACCAAGGAUAAAAGUUGACAAGUUUAAUUCCACAUCCUUGCAAAGUAUUUCUGGCAAUUCAGUGUGUUCAUCUCACAGACUUCUUAUGGAAGCCUCUUUCAAGGGCAGGAGGCCUUCUGCCCUGGGCUCUGCCUGGCCAAGACCUGCAGAAGUAACUACUGUUUGCCACAGAAAUGAGCUGGAUGGCUUUGAUUUGUAGAGAUCCUAUCAUUUGCCUUCUAUCUCUUUCUAAACGUGUUACAUCCAGACCAGGAAGUUGUCAGCUGAAGUGAUUCUGUCAGCCAGAUUUGAGAGACUGCACAUUUUAUGACCAUUAAAGUUUUCUGUAACUUCUCACUUGAAUUUUUCCAUGUCAAAGAAUGUGGAUUUUUUGGUUUGUCAAAUUCCAAAAUAAGCAUCAGCAGUGAUAAGAACUUGUCAGCCUGACAGGAAAAGAACUGGGAUUUGUUCUCUGGGUUAUUUCUGUUCUUUUAUUCUAAUGAAUGUUUAAUAUAAAUGCAUGGACAACCUAUGUCAUUAUUUUACAGUCGUGUUCUUUCUUAUGCACUCUUGGAUUUGACCCCAUGGGUUUGAUUUGCAUUACUCACAGAAUUCUUCAGAGUUCUGCAGCUGUUCAGCAGUAGAAGGAGAAAUCUGUUCCCCAGAACUUACUUUUACCCCAGUGCUUAUGGUACUUUCCUGGAUCUUGUAAGGUGCACACUUGUUUUGGGCUGAGAGGGCCCUGAACCUCAGCUUCACCUAAGGAACGGGUGUCAACCUCAGUGGAAAAUAUCCAUCUGGGUGUAACUGGGGAGUAGAUAACCUGAAGCUGCUGUGUCCUCUUUAGAUACCAGCACCAUUUCAGGCAUGCUUAUACUCUCAGACAGCUCCAAUGCAGCGCUUCAUUGGGAGGCCUGUAGUUUACCCACUUGCUGGAGCUUUGGGACAACAACCCUUUUUAGCAUUGUCUCUAAAACAGUUUAGUGAGUCUCUCUUUUGGCAUCUGUCCUCUGUCUUUGUUUUUCUGAUUUUUUUUUCUGUUCUAUUUUAUGUCGGUGUUGAAACAAGUAUCAAAAUUCUGCUAAUAUGCACCUUGACUCCUGCUGUAUGCUUAUAUAACAAGAAAACCGUCAAAUGUCUACUGCCUUAAUCUUUGCUCUGGUUUUGAAGAUGUUAAGAAAUCUGAGAGACUCUGUUUUGAACUGUGUUUCUCAUACUUUGAUCCCUACCCUGCUGUCCAUAAAAGACUUUCCGGAUGAGAGGAGAAACCCCGUGUGCCCUGUUUCAAAUGCUGGUGUUUACCCUUCAUAACUGCAUGAAUCAACAAGUUGGAUAAAUAUUUUUCCAACAGGAAGGGAUGACAGAAAGAUGGAAAGAACAAUAUGUGACAGAUGUAAGUGAGUUCACUUAAUGUGUUACUGGAAGUACAUUACAAAUACUUCAAUCAGAAAAGCAGGCCAAGAGGAGAGAAGGAUGGAAGUAAGAAGCACUGAGUGUUCACGGCAGAAAGACCUUUUUGAAACCUCUAGAAAGACUGAAAUGAUCUCUUAAUUUGUGUGUAUAAAGGGCAGGAUAUUUUCUGGUUAUGUCUACCUAAAACAGGUUUUGUCAGGAUCCAGGAUUUUCUUCAGUUAAACAUCAGUGUGGCUGUAUGUUAAAAUGCCAUACUGCAAGAGCAGGUACAGUUUAUCAUCAAGUUAUCUCAUUAAAAAACAAGGCAGA